GCGGGGCCGGCGGCGGCGGCGGGAGGGGAGCGGCGGGAGCGCGCCCCGGGUCCGCUCCGGUCCUGGGCGGGGAGGGCGGGAGGGAGCUGAAGGGGAGGGGGGGGGAGCGAGCGAGCGGCGCGCCGGCGCGCCCGGAUGACAGCCGUAACCAGGCAACAGGCCCCGCCCACCGCUCCCCGCCCCGCCCCGCGCCGGCGCGGAGCGAUGACGUCGGCGGAGGGCAAGGUGGAGCCGAGCAGAUGGGUAUAUCCUAGUGGCUUGCAGUGCUGUGCAUCAUACCACCUGCAGAGAUGAGAGUGGAAGCUCAUCAAGUGGUGUCUCGGGCAGAUGUUUCAGCUACGAAUAACCUGUGAAUAUCUGAGGCUCCGCACAUGAGGUUUUGGGAUCGGAGAAGCAGGCAGACAGGGUGCUUAAUUGUGCAGCUUCACUUCUCCUACCACGUCUACAUAAGUCAAUCCACACGUAGCCUGUGUCUCAGAGAAGCUGAGGGCCUGCAAACCCGAUGAAGGUCAGGACAGGAAGAUCUCCGCUUGGCAUCAAUCCUUAUAACUUUAUAUUCACGUAGUGAGAGGAGUGCGGAGUUCAUUUGAGCUA